rnacentral:rRNA from 1 species
GACGAACGCUGGCGGCGUGCUUAACACAUGCAAGUCGAACGGAAAGGCCCUGCUUUUGUGGGGUGCUCGAGUGGCGAACGGGUGAGUAACACGUGAGUAACCUGCCCUUGACUUUGGGAUAACUUCAGGAAACUGGGGCUAAUACCGGAUAUGAGCUCCUGCUGCAUGGUGGGGGUUGGAAAGUUUCGGCGGUUGGGGAUGGACUCGCGGCUUAUCAGCUUGUUGGGGGGGUAGUGGCUUACCAAGGCUUUGACGGGUAGCCGGCCUGAGAGGGUGACCGGCCACAUUGGGACUGAGAUACGGCCCAGACUCCUACGGGAGGCAGCAGUGGGGAAUAUUGCACAAUGGGCGGAAGCCUGAUGCAGCAACGCCGCGUGCGGGAUGACGGCCUUCGGGUUGUAAACCGCUUUCGCCUGUGACGAAGCGUGAGUGACGGUAAUGGGUAAAGAAGCACCGGCUAACUACGUG